rnacentral:lncRNA from 1 species
GCCCAAUAUAAUUAUAGAGCAAACCACAAAAUUCGAAAAAAUAAAUAAAAUAAAAACUCACACAUUCAAUCGAAUAACAAAAGCAGAUCCGAAUCUGACAAUUCAACCCCAAAAUGAAACAACUAUUAAACACGGUGCAUUUUCAAACUCCAAUAUCAAAAUCAAACAUUGUUUCCCAUCUUACCGCUUCAAUUCUCCACCAUAAUACAAAAAAUCGAAAAACAGAAAAAAUCCGAACAUUCCAUUUCCAGAUCGAAAAAUUUUUUAAAAAAAUAAAAACUCAAAACAAAAAAAGGACAAACCUCUACGGUCUAGGCCAGAAGCUGCAAGAAGCAAAUACGUUGAACUAAUUAAAAAUGUAUCAAAUGGAAAGGGAAACGAAUAUCAUCAUUUUUCUGAUGUCAGAGAAGACUCUCGAUUGGUUUCUAGGAUUCGCAGAUCGAGCGUUGCGUGGUUUCUUCUCUGUGUUUUAGGGCCUCCAAAUUUGAUUUCUAUUUUUAAUUUUGUUUUUUCGUGAGGUUUUCGGAAAAAUCUGGAGGAAGAGAGAAAAAAUAAUAAUAAUAGGCGACAGCGAAUUUCUUGGUGGCAGGCAUGUGUGUAUCGUCCAGCAGCUCGUUU